rnacentral:rRNA from 1 species
CUCACAAGAGGUAUCGGGAAAGUUUUUCGCUAUAGGAUGAGGCUGCGGCCUAUCAGCUAGUUGGGGAGGUAACGGCUCACCAAGGCUAUGACGGGUAGCUGGUCUGAGAGGAUGAUCAGCCACACUGGAACUGAGACACGGUCCAGACUCCUACGGGAGGCAGCAGUGGGGAAUUUUACACAAUGGGCGAAAGCCUGAUGUAGCAACGCCGCGUGGAGGAUGACGGAUUUAGGUCUGUAAACUCCUUUUAUAGGGGAAGAAAUUUGACGGUACCCUAUGAAUAAGCGCCGGCUAACUCCGUGCCAGCAGCCGCGGUAAUACGGGGGGCGCAAGCGUUACUCGGAAUCACUGGGCGUAAAGGGAGCGUAGGCGUUCUAUUAAGUCUCGAGUGAAAUCCCGCAGCCUAACUGCGGAACCGCUCGGGAAACUGAUAGAAUAGAGUAUGGAAGAGGUAGGUGGAAUUUCCAGUGUAGGGGUAAAAUCCGUAGAUAUUGGAAGGAAUACCAGAAGCGA